rnacentral:rRNA from 1 species
UACGGAGGGUGCAAGCGUUAUCCGGAUUUACUGGGUUUAAAGGGUGCGUAGGCGGGUAGGUAAGUCAGUGGUGAAAUCCCCGAGCUCAACUUGGGAACUGCCGUUGAUACUAUUUAUCUUGAAUACCGUGGAGGUGAGCGGAAUAUGUCAUGUAGCGGUGAAAUGCUUAGAUAUGACAUAGAACACCGAUUGCGAAGGCAGCUCACUACGCGGUCAUUGACGCUGAGGCACGAAAGCGUGGGGAUCAAACAGG